rnacentral:lncRNA from 1 species
GCAGAAGAUGGAAAAGAACUUAAUGGAGUCUGGCACAUGAUUAUAAACGACGUUGGUCAGAAAUAUAAUCAUAAUCCACAUAAUACUGACAAACUUGCCACUCGAACAUUCAUGUGUGAUUCUCAUAACGUUCAUGAGGGAUUAAAGUACAUAAUAAAAGGAGUGUGACUUUUAUAUUCAUUCUCCAAGUAAGACUUGGUGAUUCAUUUUCCAAGUAAAACUUGGUGAAAUCAUGCUCCAAGUAAGACUUCUCGUUGGUUCCAUCUUACUUGGAGACAUUCAUCAUUUCUAUCCCAUAUUUAAUGAGACUUUUCAUUCUCCCCCUCGAAAUGUGGACAUAACCAUAAUAUCGAUGAGGUCUCAUUAUUAACUUCUCUUAUAUCUUUAAUUGUGUCAUAGCACACAUAAUCAUUACAAAGGUCAUUCGGUUUAGACAAAACUUGUACUGCCUCAUUGCGAGAUUAGCAUUUGGUACAUACAUGAUCAAUGCCAUCCAUUAUAGAGACAGAAAUUAAGUUCCUCCAGUAAUUAACUAGGAGCAUACAAUAAUAACAUCAGCCAUCUCGUAACAUUAGUGUAUAAAUUCAAUUGUUUCAACUUUAUCACCUUAAUUUGCAUCAGCAAUGUGCACAACGACACCUAAUUCAAAUCAACAUAAAGAAAUAUCCUGAAAUUUGGCUCCAAGGAUAGGAAGCCCUUGUAGUAGUCCUCAAUAGAGGAGAAAUAUUCACAUUAGCAUUCUGGAAUUAGGGAUUGCUCCCCCAUACCCAAUAUAAACAUUAAUUAAUGACAUCUAUGUGACAUAAGACUCCACUCCCAUUUUCUGUCAUAACAUCAUCAUCAUCAUCAUCAUUAAUAAUAAUAACAAAAAAAAAUAACUUUAGCGACAGAAGCUAUGAGAGAUUCCAUAUGUUGAUUUGAAUUAUUGCUCUAAUCUGUAUCACCGUUGGGUAGAAAAACAAAAAAGAACUUAAUUUAUUCACAACUGACACAUGACAAUAAUCAACGUUGGUCAGAAUAUUAUCAUAUGACAUAAGAACAUCU